CGACCCCUCGAGCCCCCCGGGGCUUGGUGCUGGGGCCCUACGUGCGUCGUAGGCCCCGAAUUCCAGUGGCGGGCUCGCCGCGGUCCCGAGCGUAGUAGCGACACCUCGCUCCAGGGACCCCGCGGCGGGUGCCGGCCGUGAAAACCCACACCGAUUUUAA
rnacentral:misc_RNA from 1 species